AGUGAACGCUGGCGGUAGGCCUAACACAUGCAAGUCGAACGGCAGCACAGUAAGAGCUUGCUCUUACGGGUGGCGAGUGGCGGACGGGUGAGGAAUACAUCGGAAUCUACUUUUUCGUGGGGGAUAACGUAGGGAAACUUACGCUAAUACCGCAUACUACCUACGGGUUAAAGCAGGGGAUCUUCGGGCCUUUCGCGAUUGAAUGAGCCGAUGUCGGAUUAGCUAGUUGGCGGGGUAAAGGCCCACCAAGGCGACGAUCCGUAGCUGGUCUGAGAGGAUGAUCAGCCACACUGGAACUGAGACACGGUCCAGACUCCUACGGGAGGCAGCAGUGGGGAAUCUUGGACAAUGGGCGAAAGCCUGAUCCAGCCAUACCGCGUGGGUGAAGAAGGCCUUCGGGUUGUAAAGCCCUUUUGUUGGGAAAGAAAAGCAGCAGGUUAAUACCCCGCUGUUCUGACGGUACCCAAAGAAUAAGCACCGGCUAACUUCGUG
rnacentral:rRNA from 1 species